AUGCAGCGCUGGGAGCAGCUCUUGCCCUUUCUUUCUGCCUGUCUUCACCCUCAUCCCGCUCCUCCCCUUCCCCUGCUGCCACUGGUUUCUAUCUCCAUUGUUCCCUUAAGCCCAGCAGCCAAUGUGCAGCCAGGCCCAGCACACGCUCCGCAGCCAGCAACUUCCUCUGAAGCUGCAACGCUUAAUUACAACCAGCUGCUCUGGGCUGCUGGCUGGCCAGCUCUGCAAACAAGCGUCCCGAUACCUCGAGUUCCAGGGAGGCAACAGCCUGAUCUUGGCAGCAACAAAUACUCUGAAGGAAGUGCCCACACCCUUGUAAGAAGAGGGAGCAGCCCUUCUGUCUCUCCUGUGGCUUCCAGAGGCCAGCGCUGGUUGGGGUUAUCUGUUUAUAUUUAAAUGAAUCAUCAGGUCCAGCCAUGGAAGUGGAUUUAAUGAAAUACUGUUGACCAAUGAAUGAAGAAAUAUAAGUACUUUUUCAUCUUCUUAUUUUGAGAGAAAAAAAGUCAUAUUUUCUGUAAUUUAAAAACCAUCAGAUGAGGUUUUAUUUUACCACAUAAAGGAAACUAUGAAGGCUUUCGGGCCUCUUCCAGCAUCUCCUAGUGCUUUCCAAAGAUGUUCCUGACAGUCUGAGAGCAAGGUAUCAUGUAUCACCCUUUCCACCAACAGAUGGAGAAACUGAAGCAUGAAGAGGUGACAUGAGGUCACCGAGGGAGCAGGUGAUGGACUGGCUUCUGGUCUCUUGCUCCAAACCCUGCUCCAAUUUGUCUGUCUUAUAAACAGCCAUCAAUAACUUUAUUUCCAGGCUGAACACUGCCAACCAGGACCCACAAUGUGCUGAGCAUUUGUAUGCAAAUGAGCUCUCCACCAUCCUGAGGAGUACACGGGGUGCUGAACAGGAAUGGAGGAAAGAGAAAUAAUUGUUACUACUGGAGUCUAAAAUGCCAUCCAAACCCAGUUUCACAGUGAAAUUCCAGAAAUGAGGAAGUAAUGAGUGUUAAAUGUAAUAUCAUCAGUCAAUCCACUACUAACAAAUCACGAUCCUAUAAACCUAAUGGCAGGAUUUCCUAAACAUUUACUUUAUUUUUUUAUAUAUAUUUUUUGAGAUGGAGUCUCACUCUUCCCCCCAGGCUGGAGUGCAAUGGCGUGGUCUCGGCUCACUGCAACUUCUACCUCCUGGGUUCAAGCGAUUCUCCUGCCUCAGACUCCCAAGUAGCUGGUACUACAGGCAUAUAUCACCACACCUGGCUAAUUUUUGUAUUUUUAGUAGAGACGAGGUUUCAUUAUGUUGACCAGGCUGUUCUCAAACUCCUGACCAUGUCAUCCACCCACCUCAGCCUCCCAAAGUGCUGGGAUUACAGGCAUGAGCCACUGCACCACACCCAGCCACAUUUGCUUUAUUUAAAAAUAUAUUUUUGACACUAAGAGAUUUUCCUUCCCUAAUAUCAGAACUGAGCCAAUAAUUAAAUGGAUGGCAAAAUAAUUAAAAUGUCAUGUUAAUAUUCAUAUGUUGUGGUAAUGCAUAUCACCAAGUAUAAGUCAACCAAAUGCUUAGGUUGAUGGAACAUUCCUAUUUAAAAAUUAAAGUUGUGACCCAUUUUCCUUCACUUAUUGUCUGCUCAAAUAUGUACCUGUUCCCUUUAGGUUUUCAGCCCAACUCAGCCACUGGCUUUGUGACCUUCGGCAAAGGCCCUGAACCUCAAUCUCCUACUCUGCAAAUGGGAGCAGUCAGGUUUGUCUCAGAUUUUUUGCAAAGGCCAAUUGACUUCAUGUUUGUAUAGGUAUUGGAAACAACCCCUGGCAGGUAGACAGUGCUUAGUGAAUACGAUUUCCUUCCUCCCCACCUUUGAAUAUGUUUGUUACGAAAUGCUUGAGUUUUUGGAGCCAAGGUAAACUUUCAUAUACCUUGCUCACAAUUCCGUAAGGUAGCUAAGGAAGGUGCGAUUAUGCCUUUCACAUAUAGAAGGAAACUCCGUCUCUGAGAGGUAAAGUAAUUUGCUCAGAGUCACGCUGCAAAUUGGUGCAGAACUAGAAGCCUGGCGCCCUAAUUCCUAGUCCUGUGAUCUUUCCAUUAACUUUUUAUUGCCACCAUUGCCUCCGCCUCAAUGAAAGCUCCUGUUGUAGCCCACCCCAAACCAAUUCCAGCUCCCAGGACGUGGCUCCUUGGUGCCUCUUUUCACCUCUCCCCUCGCUGUUGCCCCAGCUUAAAUUCCAUCCCAUUCUUCAGUAACUUCCCUCUACCUCUACCUGGUUCUGGAUGCUCAGAGACUAGUCUACAUAGUGUAUGAGUCCAAAUGACUUUGGGAGGAAUGUUCUUUUAAACAAAAGAGGUUGAAUUAGAUACCACCAUACAUAUUGUGUUGUUAAAUAUCUACAGCAUGAUAAAAUCAUCCCAAAUGUCACCAAUCCCUGGGGAGCUUAUUAAUAAUUAAGCAUUUUUAGUUCACUUAGAAAUGCAGAUUCCAUUUAACAACAGAAUGUACACUAAAUAUGUCCAUUAUAUUGCAGCUUGCAGCAGAAUAUGUUAGAGAUCUCAGCUGGGUUUCUCCAGGACAGAUGACAAAGUUAAUGCAGGUAUCAGUCUUUCCUAAGGCAGCAGAGGAGCCAAAAGCAGCAUGCUGGAUUGGUUUAUAGGGUCUGCAUUUAUUAGGAGUGUUUAUUAGGAUGACUAAUAAUGGAAGAGACAACUUGGCAAGGGUAGGAGUGGAUUGGAGGAGGGUCGGGAAAAGCCCAAAGGAAAUGGGAUGAUCUCGAAAAACAAAAGGAAAGGCAGCAACCCAGGGUCUGUGGUGUGUGAAUCAUUUGUCCACACACUGAUUUUUAAGCUUUUCAAGGAAUAGUCAAACAAAACUAUCAUUUUAUAUGUUCCACUUGCUUGGAAGUCCAUUUACUUUUUUUUUUUUUUUUUUGGCUUAUUCCAGAAAGAUAAAUAGUCGUGGUUACACACACACACACUACACACACUACACACAUGUACUUUUCACACACAUACACACACACUUCACACACAUACACACACACACUCACAUAUACACACAUGCACAAGUACUUUUCUUUAAAACGCAGUUUUAUUUCCUGGGCAAAGACAGAACAGUGAAUAUCAAGAAAGGAAGAAUGGGGAAGAAGGGAAGCGCAGGAAGGAAAGAUUGGAGAGAGGAAGGCAGGCAAGAAAAUAGGCUGGCAACCUUCUUUGUCUCUUCUAGAGAUUUACUGUUUCUUCCUAGGCCCACUGAAAAACGUUCCUUUUGAAGGUGAUAGAGAGGAGGGAGGAAAAGAGAGAGAAAUUGAGAUAAAGAGGAAGUGGGUCGCGGUUGUGGUGAGAUGCAGGGAAAUGAGUUGAUCCAGGCAUUAGUGUUGGAGCUCUCACUCACUGUGCAAUGUGGGAUCUUAGGCAUGUUAUUUAACUUCUCUGUCUAGGCCCCUUUCCUGCCAGCAGAAGUUUUCAUGAUCUUAGAGACUCCCUCUAGCCUUCGUGUUCCAGAAACCUAGGCUUGAAGCAGGGAGAAGGCCCCUUCUUAAUGAUACCUGAAAACUUUUGCAAGCUUUUAGCAGAAAAUGACUGUGGAUGAAUACUCUAUUUCGUUUUCCAAACGGAAACUACAUUGCAAGCUAUGCCACUUCUUUCCUCCCUCACUUAAAGCACCUGCCACACUAAUAAAAGAGUCAUAAAUUUAGUUGUAGGGGCUCCAACAAAGGAGCAAAAUCCCCUCCUACUAGGGCAGCCAGGCUGUCACCAGGAAGUAAAGGCUGCAGGGGAGACUGCUCUUGUGUAGCGUGUAGCCAGUCUGGGUGCUGGAGGGGCAGCAGGGCCGAGAAGCAGCACAGAGUGAACAUGGGCAGUGGGCUCCGCUAACACUGCAGUUUCUUAAUUUCCUUCCUGAGAUGAUUGGGGUUCAGGGUCCAGUGAGUACCGCCUCAAAGGGACCUCCCGGUCUGAAAAUGGUGUGUGCAUGUCUGGGGAAUCAUUCCCCAGGUGUUCUCCAAAACCAACACUUUCUGUUGUUUGGGGAGAGGGCAAGGAGUGUUAUUUAUUGCACAGCUGCCUUGAGAGAAUUAGAGAGGGAGCUGAGCUUCAAAACAACUUGUGAACUUAGAGGCUAUGAAAUGGUGGACAAAGAUGAUUUAAAGCCAAAUAGGUUAAUAAACUCAAUUAUCUGGAUGGUUUUCAUUAGCCACUGGUUUUCCUUUUCUGAACAUCACAGUUGUUUUUUCCUGCUAUGAACCAGCACAUCCCCAGUGAGAACAGUGUUCACUAUAUUUCAACAUUCAUAGAAGCAGGUGGUGAGCUUUCCCGUUUUGCCAUAGCACAGACACACACACAUCACCACCACCACCAAUAACAACCUGAUAAUGCAAAGAAUUGCUUUGCUCUGUCUCUUUAAAUAAUCUAAAAAUACUCCUUGGGUACCAUCAAGGCUAAUCAUCACAAUUAUGCUUAUAACCAAGCGGGUACCAUCACCUAUGGUCCAUAUGUUACUUCAGAUAGGGACUGCGGGGUCAUAUUAGAUAUGGCAUGGCCUCACUCUUCAGUAGGAUUAACAGAAAAUGUGUGCACGUGUGUGUGUGUGUGUGUGGGAAUUGUUACCAGGUUUAGCUCCUGUAAUUUCUCACACUUUAGGUUUCUGGCAGAGAAAAGCAUCUUUGAAAUUUCUAGGGUUCUAAGCAUAAUCACAGAUUUUUCAAGCUGGCAGGAAUAGGGC
rnacentral:lncRNA from 1 species